rnacentral:rRNA from 1 species
CAACCGAGCGCAACCCUACGUUUAGUUGCUAACGCGUGAAGGCGAGCACUCUAGACGAACUGCCGUUGACAAAACGGAGGAAAGGUGGGGAUGACGUCAAAUCAUCAUGCCCCUUAUGUUCUGGGCUACGACACGUGCUACAAUGGCCGGUACAGACGGACGCAAAGCCGCGAGGUGGAGCAAAUCCUAAAAAGCCGGUCUCAGUUCGGAUUGAAGUCUGCAACUCGACUUCAUGAAGUCGGAAUCGCUAGUAAUCGCGGAUCAGAACGCCGCGGUGAAUACGUUCUCGGGGUUU